rnacentral:rRNA from 1 species
UACGUAGGGGGCUAGCGUUGUCCGGAAUUAUUGGGCGUAAAGAGCUCGUAGGCGGUCUGUCGCGUCGAAUGUGAAAACCCGGGGCUCAACUCCGGGCUUGCAUUCGAUACGGGCAGGCUAGAGUUCGGUAGGGGAGUCUGGAAUUCCUGGUGUAGCGGUGAAAUGCGCAGAUAUCAGGAGGAACACCGGUGGCGAAGGCGGAUCUCUGGGCCUUACCUGACGCUGAGGCGCGAAAGCUAGGGGAGCGAACAGG